rnacentral:rRNA from 1 species
UGAAAAGCACUUUGGAAAUUAAACAGUACGUGAAAUUGUUGAAAGGGAAGCGCUUGCAAUCAGACUUGCGUCUAGUUGAUCAUCCGGGCUUCUGCCCGGUGCACUCGAUUAGGUCAGGCCAGCAUCGGUUUGGGUGGUUGGAUAAAGGCCUGGGGAACGUAGCCUCCUUCGGGGGGUGUUAUAGCCCCAGGUGCAAUGCAGCCUACCUGGACCGAGGACCGCGCUUCGGCUAGGAUGCUGGCGUAAUGGUUGUAAGCGACCCGUCUUGAAACACGGACCAAGGAGUCUAACAUUUAUGCGAGUGUUUGGGUGUUAAACCCAUACGCGUAAUGAAAGUGAACGGAGGUAAGAACCCUUAAGGGUGCAUUAUCGACCGAUCCUGAUGUCUUCGGAUGGAUUUGAGUAAGAGCAUAACUGUUGGGACCCGAAAGAUGGUGAUCUAUACGUGAAUAGGGUGAAGCCAGAGGAAACUCUGGUGGAGGCUCGCAGCGGUUCUGACGUGCAAAUCGAUCGUCAAAUUUGCGUAUAGGGGCGAAAGACUAAUCGAACCAUUGGUGACCAGCCACUAGGUGGUUAAGAAGGAGCCUUAGUCCCCCCGCGAGGGGGGGCGACAUUGUCAAAUUGUCG